CGGGUGAGUAAUGUCUGGGAAACUGCCUGAUGGAGGGGGAUAACUACUGGAAACGGUAGCUAAUACCGCAUAACGUCGCAAGACCAAAGAGGGGACCUUAGGGCCUCUUGCCAUCGGAUGUGCCCAGAUGGGAUUAGCUAGUAGGUGGGGUAAUGGCUCACCUAGGCGACGAUCCCUAGCUGGUCUGAGAGGAUGACCAGCCACACUGGAACUGAGACACGGUCCAG
rnacentral:rRNA from 1 species